rnacentral:rRNA from 1 species
GGUCCUACGGGGGGCAGCAGUGGGGGAUAUUGCACAAUGGGGGGAACCCUGAUGCAGCGACGCCGCGUGGGUGAAGGAGCGUUUCGGCGCGUAAAGCCCUAUCGGCAGGGAAGAAGGAGGACGGUACCUGACUAAGAAGCCCCGGCUAACUACGUGCCAGCAGCCGCGGUAAUACGUAGGGGGCAAGCGUUAUCCGGAUUUACUGGGGGUAAAGGGGGCGCAGACGGCAGCGCAAGCCAGGAGUGAAAGCCCGGGGCCCAACCCCGGGCCUGCUCUUGGAACUGGGCGGGUGGAGGGCAGGGGGG